UUCAUCUUUUUACUUUCAAGUUGUCUAAUCAUUAUGUGCUACAUUUGUUUCUAAUAAUCAGCACAUAAUUACAUUCUCUUUUUAAAUUGAAUCUGAAGAUCUUUGUCUUUUUACAGAGAGAGAGAGAGAAAGAGAGAGAAAACCUUCUGAAAUAUAAACAAUCCUCUCUGGGGAGAAGAAGGAAGACGCAGACUGUAGGUUUUAACCUUGCUGCAAUCCCUAGUUUACUGUGCAAUUGCUAAAGUGAUAUCUUCAGAUGCUGUGUUGCAUUUGGGUGACUACCACGUCGCUUGUGUUGAGGAGCCAUGCUAGUGCUGCUCAGGUAGCUGUCAAGGGAGAGUCCUGCAUCCACACCUGCCUGCAUAUCAUCCAUAGAUUCUGCAGCAGAAAAGGCAUUUGUCCAUUGCCCAAGAUUUUGCUGCCUCUCAUCCAAGUAGCCCCAUUGUGAAGACGCCACCCAUUUUUCUACGGCUCAGGCAUUUUAUGACCCCUGGGAACCACAGAACCAAAGACCAUUUUGCUGAUGGCCCUCACUAACACAGCUCCAACCACUUUAAUCCCUGUCGUCUCUGUCAAGUAAAUUCUGUGAUUUUUAUUCGUUUUGGACAGUCGUGAAGGCCUAUGAAGAGGCCCAGGCCCAGCAAGGGAAGGGAGGAUUGCAAAGAGAGACCCAGGCUUUGGAGGCUAGAAGUUCCAAGGCAGGGUGUCAACAUGGCCAGAUUUUGGGACUCUGCCAGACUCCAGUGUGGGAAUGAAUGAGAAAUGGUACCCUGCUCAAGGAGCUGAGAGAGCUAAAUUGCCCAAGGACCUACUGAUGGAGAGCAGCAGAGCCCACGUGGGAAUCCAGGUGUUAUGAUUUCUGAAUGAGUGCUCUUCCCAGGAGGCCAUAUUGCUUCUGAAGUUUAAAAGUCUGACCAACACCACAGGGAAUUCUUGACAGUGAAGUAAGCAAAUCAGUAUCUCUAACUUAUGGUAGGUUAUUAAGGUAUUUGGGACUAUUAAAAACAAACUUGCAGAAUCUGAGGUAAUGGGCCCUAAAGUCCCUACAAUAGGGAUCAAACUCUAAACCUAAGAAACAUCCCCAAACACAACUACUAAAACAUCAAAGAUAUUGGUUUUAAAAUACAAAAGCAGUAAAGCCAGUAUUUAAAGUAUCAAGACAAGUAUUUAAAUGUAAUUGAGGUCCUUUCUUAAUUACUUAAUUAAAGCACUUCUACAUAUGUGGGAUAGGGAAUCUUCAAUUUCCAGCUUGAACAGCUCUUCUGUGCUCCUUGCUGUGGGGAGAAACUUUUAAGACUUGGUAGCUGAUUGGAUAUGUAUCCCUUCAUCAGGAAAAUAAGCAGUCAAAGCAGGGCAAAGGGAACUCACAACUACUGAGUAGCAUCCAUGCUCCCUGAGUUUUAUGAGUGCCAUGUCAUUUAAUUACCAAAACAAUUUUAUAUGGUGGGGAUUACUGUUUUCAUUUUAAUGAAAACUCUAAAUUCAAAUAUUUUAAAUACUAUGGCCAAGGGCACAUAGUUUGUAAAUGAUACAGGCAGAAAUGGAACUAGUCUGGUCUGAUUCCAAGGUUCAUGUUCUUUGCAGCAUACCCUACCUCCUCCGGGGGUUAGGGCAAGAUUUAAAUGAAAGAAAAUACGUCCGAAGGUGAAGUAGGAAGAUGGAAGUAGGGAAAGGGCUAACAUUUAGAUUUUUGUUGAAUUGACGAAUGUUAUCAGCAGAAGACCUGGGUUUAUAAUCCUCAUUAUUCCCUGAUCAAAAAUCACUUUUCCACAACUGUUGUCAAGAAGCAAGCUCAGUUUCCUCCCUCCCUUGUGCUGUAUCCAGGAGCAAGCCCUAAUACUCUUAGAAGAUCUUCUGAGAGAGUCUGUAUCUACUGAGAAGUAAGAAGAUGAAAUCCUGAGCCCUGGAAGUAGAUAGCUUAUGUUUGAAUCCCACCUUUGCCACCAACUAGAUGUGUGUAGACAAACUGUUUAACCUUUGUGUGACUUGGUUGUGUCAAUGGGGAUGCUAAUAAUAAUGCCUAAGUCCUAAACUUGUGGGGAGUAAAUAAAAUAAUACAUAUAAAGAA